rnacentral:lncRNA from 1 species
AGUAUUUCCACAGGGAACUGCCGACCUCUCCAUGCUCUCUUUGCUCUUCUGGUCCUAAGGACACUUUAGCAAAGUUAAUAUCGGAGACUCCCAACUUUUACAGCUCAUCCAUUAAGUUCCAAAACAGAAAAGAGAGAUACUUAACUGGGGGAAAGCCAGAUGUUGAACUCUCCACCGAUUCCAAAAACAUCAAGCAACUUGAAAGAUGGAUAGCUCUUCAGCUCUAGUUUCUGACUUUCCAUUUGGCAUUGGUCCUUGAACACGACAACAUAAUGAUGUUCUCAAUUCGGUGAUUUUCAAAUAUUUUAAUCCUAAUUAAAGCAUAAAGAAAAAGUUGCGUUAGCUGAGCUCGAAUGCCCGCCAAGUGUGAGAAAACUGUAUCUCAGCUGUAUGUACUGUUACACAGUGUUCUUGGAACUUCUCAUAUGUCAUUCUGUCUGUUCAUGUGCAAUCUGAUAACUAACUACAAUUAGCAAAUGAAAUAUUUAUAUAUGCUACCACGUAGUCAGUCCAUAUGUGCAAAAUAUUGCAAGAUCCUCAAGUAGCAUUUAGCAUCACCCACUGUUAUGUUAGUUUCCUGAAAUAGGAAACUAUGCUGUCUUAUGCAGUCUUAUGAAGUAUGCCCCCCGAGGAUGCAAUUUCCUUGCUUUGCGUGUUUGUGGUAGAGCUCAAGUCAUCCUCCAGUGAGGUGACUGGUUUGUCCUCUCACAAAAUUCAGCACCACCAGCCCAGAGUUCUCUUUCCUUUUUCUCCGUGUUACUCUUGUGCUUCACCUACAAGCUACACCAUGUCCCAACGAGUAGUGUUCAUCCACGUGGGAUGAACACUAGCCAGUUACUACUUUAUUUAUAAAAAUUCCAGUCAUUGUCCGAGCACAACUGACUGACAGCACACACUGAGAACUUUGUAAAGGACUUUUAAACCUUCCACAGACACACAGUUUUUAACCAGCAUGUGAACAAUAUGAGAAGCUUGUUGACUUCUGAAAAAAUUGCCUGGAACUGAAAAUCCAUAAGUGGAAGGAAAGCAAGCCUCUGAUUCACUUGACUUAAAUCAAGGGACAUCCAACAGUUGAAGGAACGUGGGGCAGCUGCCCUCAAUGAAAUAUCGGUAUGUGCACCCUCACCCUUCCUGAGGCUGAUCAUCUUACAACGAGUAAAGGGGGAAAGGAAGCCAGUCUCCACCUGCAAGCCGAGGUUUGCAUGUAACCUUAUUUCACAGAAAAUUUAAUUUCAAGUCAAUUAAAUCUGAAUAUGAGAGAGAGAAAAAAGAGGGGGCAGAGAAGAGAGAACUUGGGGGUUUGGGAUAGAAAAGCUAUAAAAUUGGAUUGUGAUGAUCAUUGUACAACUAAAAAAAAAAAGCAUGACAAUGUGAGAAAAAAGAAUAUAUACAAGUGUGUGUAACUGGGUCACCUUGCUGUACAGUAGAAAAUUGACAGAACACGGUAAACCAGCUAUAAUGGAAAAAAAUAAAAA